rnacentral:rRNA from 1 species
UAAGGAAUAUUGGUCAAUGGACGCAAGUCUGAACCAGCCAUGCCGCGUGAAGGAUGAAGGUCCUCUGGAUUGUAAACUUCUUUUAUCUGGGACGAAAACGGGAUUUUUAUCUCAAUUGACGGUACCAGAGGAAUAAGCACCGGCUAACUCCGUGCCAGCAGCCGCGGUAAUACGGAGGGUGCGAGCGUUAUCCGGAUUUACUGGGUUUAAAGGGUGCGUAGGUGGGCUUAUAAGUCAGUGGUGAAAUCUCCGAGCUUAACUUGGAAACUGCCGUUGAUACUAUAGGUCUUGAAUUAUCUGGAGGUAAGCGGAAUAUGUCAUGUAGCGGUGAAAUGCUUAGAUAUGACAUAGAACACCAAUUGCGAAGGCAGCUUACUACAUAUAAAUUGACGCUGAGGCACGAAAGCGUGGGGAUCGAACA